rnacentral:tRNA from 1 species
GGUGGUUUAGCUCCGUGGUUAGAGCUUAGGUCUUGUGACCUAAAGGUCUCGGGAUCGAAACCCGCCAGAGGCA